CUUCGCCUCCUGGCUGCCGGUUCGCCUCCAUCAACGAGCGUUGCCCUCACCUGCUAGGCGGGGCUUGCUGAUUCAUGCCCUGAUGCCAGGUCAUGUAGGUUCAUGGAGUUUAGGUACCUGAGCGUGGAGGCAAUCCUUGUGCAAUUCAUUCUCAUGAUGCAGUCCCGGAGCCUGCAACAGAUCGACUAUCGUGACGCACCCCACACCCACUGUACAAUUGAGCAGCAACGAUCGAUAGUCCUCGCCGCCUCUACUUCCUCGUCGCUGUGCCGCCUGUCCAGAUUUUCAUGAGAAAAAUAAAAGGAUUAAAUGCCUACCCAGUCCAAGGCUCCUUGCUACCAUGAAGAAGAGAGUAGUGAAUAACCUCUGGAUGUUCUUUUAGAUUUCCAACUCCGAAAAAGAGAAGAAACUAUCG